AUGAACGCUGGCGGCGUGCCUAAUACAUGCAAGUCGAACGAGUUCUCGUUGAUGAUCGGUGCUUGCACCGAGAUUCAACAUGGAACGAGUGGCGGACGGGUGAGUAACACGUGGGUAACCUGCCCUUAAGUGGGGGAUAACAUUUGGAAACAGAUGCUAAUACCGCAUAGAUCCAAGAACCGCAUGGUUCUUGGCUGAAAGAUGGCGUAAGCUAUCGCUUUUGGAUGGACCCGCGGCGUAUUAGCUAGUUGGUGAGGUAAUGGCUCACCAAGGCGAUGAUACGUAGCCGAACUGAGAGGUUGAUCGGCCACAUUGGGACUGAGACACGGCCCAAACUCCUACGGGAGGCAGCAGUAGGGAAUCUUCCACAAUGGACGCAAGUCUGAUGGAGCAACGCCGCGUGAGUGAAGAAGGCUUUCGGGUCGUAAAACUCUGUUGUUGGAGAAGAAUGGUCGGCAGAGUAACUGUUGUCGGCGUGACGGUAUCCAACCAGAAAGCCACGGCUAACUACGUGCCAGCAGCCGCGGUAAUACGUAGGUGGCAAGCGUUAUCCGGAUUUAUUGGGCGUAAAGCGAGCGCAGGCGGUUUUUUAAGUCUGAUGUGAAAGCCCUCGGCUUAACUGCGGAACUGCAUUUGAAACUGAUUUUCUUGAGAGUCGGAGAGGCAAUCGGAAUUCCUAGUGUAGCGGUGAAAUGCGUAGAUAUAUGGAAGAACACCAGUGGCGAAGGCGGCUGUCUGGUCUGUAACUGACGCUGAGGCUCGAAAGCAUGGGUAGCGAACAGGAUUAGAUACCCUGGUAGUCCAUGCCGUAAACGAUGAAUGCUAGGUGUUGGAGGGUUUCCGCCCUUCAGUGCCGCAGCUAACGCAUUAAGCAUUCCGCCUGGGGAGUACGACCGCAAGGUUGAAACUCAAAGGAAUUGACGGGGGCCCGCACAAGCGGUGGAGCAUGUGGUUUAAUUCGAAGCAACGCGAAGAACCUUACCAGGUCUUGACAUCUUUUGAUCACCUGAGAGAUCAGGUUUCCCCUUCGGGGGCAAAAUGACAGGUGGUGCAUGGUUGUCGUCAGCUCGUGUCGUGAGAUGUUGGGUUAAGUCCCGCAACGAGCGCAACCCUUAUGACUAGUUGCCAGCAUUUAGUUGGGCACUCUAGUAAGACUGCCGGUGACAAACCGGAGGAAGGUGGGGAUGACGUCAAAUCAUCAUGCCCCUUAUGACCUGGGCUACACACGUGCUACAAUGGAUGGUACAACGAGUUGCGAGACCGCGAGGUCAAGCUAAUCUCUUAAAGCCAUUCUCAGUUCGGACUGUAGGCUGCAACUCGCCUACACGAAGUCGGAAUCGCUAGUAAUCGCGGAUCAGCACGCCGCGGUGAAUACGUUCCCGGGCCUUGUACACACCGCCCGUCACACCAUGAGAGUUUGUAACACCCGAAGCCGGUGGCGUAACCCUUUUAGGGAGCGAGCCGUCUAAGGUGGGACAAAUGAUUAGGGUG
rnacentral:rRNA from 1 species